rnacentral:pre_miRNA from 1 species
AAUAAACCAUGUUUUCUAUGCUCAACGUUUGACCGUCCGUCUUAUUUAAAAAAAUUAUAAAAAAAAUUAAAAAGAUAAGUCACGCAUAAAAUAUUAAUCAUGUUUUAUCUUCUAACAACAAUAAAAAUACGAAUUAUAAAAAAAUUUCAUAUAAGACGAACAGUCAAAAUUGAACACGGAAACUUAAGGUUUGCCUUUUU